UACGUAGGGAGCAAGCGUUGUCCGGAAUCACUGGGCGUAAAGGGCGCGUAGGCGGCGCGGGUAGUCAUCGGUGAAAGUUCAGGGCUCAACUCUGAAUCGGCCGGUGAUACUCCCGUGCUCGAGCACUGUAGAGGCAGGUGGAAUUCCGGGUGUAGCGGUGGAAUGCGUAGAGAUCCGGAAGAACACCGGUGGCGAAGGCGGCCUGCUGGGCAGUAGCUGACGCUGAUGCGCGACAGCGUGGGGAGCAAACAGG
rnacentral:rRNA from 1 species